AACAAACGCAGUCAGGGUCGGCUCCGGCGGCGCAGCGCCGGUACCUCUUCCCGUCGCCCCCGAAGAGUUAGGGUUCUCCUGUUCUUCGAAGGACAGGUGCAAUGGAGGGAGCCCUAGCGAACGCUUCUUCAAUCGCGGACCAGAGGUAGAGGAUCGAGCAGUACAAGCACAUCUUGGCCUCCAUCCUCGCCUCCAACGACAUAGCCCAGGCCAAGAAGUUCAUCGAUCACAUGCUCUCCGAUGAUGUCCCGCUCGUGGUGUCGCGGCAGCUGUUGCAGAACUUGGCCUAGGAAUUGGGGGUUCUGGCCCCGAAGACGCAAAAGGAGAUUGCCCAUUACACGCUCACCCAAAUACAGCCUAGAGUCGUUUCGUUUGAAGAGCAGGUACUAAUAAUAAGAGAGAAGCUUGCAGAAUUAUAUGAAUCAGAGCAACAAUGGUCAAAAGCAGCUCAAAUGCUUAGUGGCAUUGAUCUAGACUCAGCAAUGAG